UACGAAGGGGCGUAGCGUUGCUCGGAAUCACUGGGCGUAAAGCGCACGUAGGCGGAUUGCUAAGUCAGGGUGAAAUCCUGGAGCUCAACUCCAGAACUGCCUUUGAUACUGAAGAUCUUGAGUCCGGGAGAGGUGAGUGGAACUGCGAGUUGUAGAGGUGAAAUUCGUAGAUAUUCGCAAGAACACCAGUGGCGAAGGCGGCUCACUGGCCCGGUACUGACGCUGAGGCACGAAAGCGUGGGGAGCAAACAGGG
rnacentral:rRNA from 1 species